AUGAAUACACUUUUAGGGAUCAUUUCUAUAGUUAUUUACUUGAGAAAUGUGUUCUAUAAAGGUCGGUCUCACUAACCACGAGGAGGAGUUACAGCAUUUCCUUCUGAGUGUGAAGUGGGUGAGAAGUAUUGCUUUUUGCAAAAUCUUUAACCAUUGAUGAUGGUUCUCUUUUCUUAAUGUGAGGGAAGUGGAGGAAGAAAAUGCAUUCUGAGUGGU